AAAAAAAGGUGGGGGAUGACCUGUGGUUAGGGGUGAAAGGCCAAUCAAACUCCGUGAUAGCUGGUUCUCCCCGAAAUGCAUUUAGGUGCAGCGUCGCGUGUUCCUUGCCGGAGGUAGAGCACUGGAUGGCCUAGGGGGCCCACAAGCUUACCGAAGUCAGCCAAACUCCGAAUGCCGGUAAGCCAGAACGCGGCAGUGAGACUGCGGGGGAUAAGCUUCGUAGUCGAGAGGGAAACAGCCCAGAUCACCAGCUAAGGCCCCUAAGCGUGUGCUAAGUGGAAAAGGAUGUGGGGUCGCAUAGACAACCAGGAGGUUGGCUUAGAAGCAGCCACCCUUGAAAGAGUGCGUAAUAGCUCACUGGUCAAGUGGUUCCGCGCCGACAAUGUAGCGGGGCUCAAGCACACCGCCGAAGCUGUGGCAUUCACAUGUGUACCCGGCCUGCCCUUGCGGGGGUGGGUCCAGGUGUGUGGAUGGGUAGGGGAGCGUCGUGCCACCAGAGAAGCGGCGGAGUGAUCCAGCCGUGGAGGUGGCACGAGUGAGAAUGCAGGCAUGAGUAGCGAAAGCAGGGUGAGAAACCCUGCCGCCGGAUGACCAAGGGUUCCAGGGCCAGGCUAAUCCGCCCUGGGUGAGUCGGGACCUAAGGCGAGGCCGAGAGGCGUAGUCGAUGGACAACGGGUUGAUAUUCCCGUACCCGCGAAGAAGCGCCCAUGACGAACCUUGUUGUGCUAACCACCUGCCGCGCAUGAUCCUUCGGGUGAGUGUGUGGUGGCUGGGAACCUGAUGGGUAGUAGUCAAGCGAUGGGGUGACGCAGGAGGGUAGCUGAUCCCGGCGAGUGGAAGUGCCGGGGCAAGCGUGUAGGGCGGUGUGUAGGCAAAUCCGCACACCAUAGGCCUGAGACGUGAUGCGGAGACGUGUUAGUCGAAGUCAGUGAUCCCAUGCUGCCAAGAAAAGCCUCUAGCGAGCUUCGAGCGGCCCGUACCCCAAACCGACACAGGUGGUCAGGUAGAGAAUACCGAGGCGAUCGGGCGAACUGUGGUUAAGGAACUCGGCAAAUUACCCCCGUAACUUCGGGAGAAGGGGGGCCACAGACCGUGAAACCCCAUGCGGGUGGCAGCGGUAGGUGGCCGCAGAGACCAGGGGGAAGCGACUGUUUACUAAAAACACAGGUCCGUGCGAAGUCGUAAGACGAUGUAUACGGACUGACGCCUGCCCGGUGCUGGAACGUUAAGGGGACCGGUUAGUCCGCAAGGGCGAAGCUGAGAACUUAAGCGCCAGUAAACGGCGGUGGUAACUAUAACCAUCCUAAGGUAGCGAAAUUCCUUGUCGGGUAAGUUCCGACCUGCACGAAUGGCGUAACGACUUCCCUACUGUCUCAACCACAGGCCCGGCGAAAUUGCACUACGAGUAAAGAUGCUCGUUACGCGCGGAAGGACGGAAAGACCCCGGGACCUUCACUAUAGCUUGACAUUGGUAUCCGAAUUGAAU
rnacentral:rRNA from 1 species